AGUGAACGCUGGCGGUAGGCCUAACACAUGCAAGUCGAACGGCAGCACAGUAAGAGCUUGCUCUUACGGGUGGCGAGUGGCGGACGGGUGAGGAAUACAUCGGAAUCUACUUUUUCGUGGGGGUUAACGUAGGGAAACUUACGCUAAUACCGCAUACGACCUACGGGUGAAAGCAGGGGAUCUUCGGACCUUGCGCGAUUGAAUGAGCCUAUGUCGGAUUAGCUAGUUGGCGGGGUAAAGGCCCACCAAGGCGACGAUCCGUAGCUGGUCUGAGAGGAUGAUCAGCCACACUGGAACUGAGACACGGUCCAGACUCCUACGGGAGGCAGCAGUGGGGAAUAUUGGACAAUGGGCGCAAGCCUGAUCCAGCCAUACCGCGUGGGUGAAGAAGGCCUUCGGGUUGUAAAGCCCUUUUGUUGGGAAAGAAAAGCAGCAGGUUAAUACCCCGCUGUUCUGACGGUACCCAAAGAAUAAGCACCGGCUAACUUCGUG
rnacentral:rRNA from 1 species